CCUACGGGAGGCAGCAGUGAGGAAUAUUGGACAAUGGGCGCAAGCCUGAUCCAGCCAUGCCGCGUGCAGGAAGACGGUCCUAUGGAUUGUAAACUGCUUUUAUACAGGAAGAAACACCUCUACGUGUAGAGACUUGACGGUACUGUAUGAAUAAGCAUCGGCUAACUCCGUGCCAGCAGCCGCGGUAAUACGGAGGAUGCAAGCGUUAUCCGGAAUCAUUGGGUUUAAAGGGUCCGUAGGCGGUUUAAUAAGUCAGUGGUGAAAGCCCAUCGCUCAACGAUGGAACGGCCAUUGAUACUGUUAAACUUGAAUUAUUAGGAAGUAACUAGAAUAUGUAGUGUAGCGGUGAAAUGCUUAGAGAUUACAUGGAAUACCAAUUGCGAAGGCAGGUUACUACUAAUAUAUUGACGCUGAUGGACGAAAGCGUGGGGAGCGAACAGGAUUAGAUACCCUGGUAGUCCACGCCGUAAACGAUGGAUACUAGCUGUUCGGAGCAAUUCUGAGUGUCGUAGACGAAGUAGAGUAAGUAUACCUACCGUACGGGUAGGUACGGUUACGUCGAGAAGUAGUAACGUACGAAGGAAAGUUAGUACGGACGUAGAGACGACGACGACGGACGACGACGAGGGAGGAGG
rnacentral:rRNA from 1 species